CUCCGUGUGGAAGGAGGCCUCUGCUGGCUCGCUUGUUGAGUUCCCAGUAAAGCCAUUGCCUCUUCUCAGUGGGUUCCACGGUUGCUUCCCAGGGUGACACUGUAGGGUCAGUGUGAUUUAACCCUGAUUGCCCCGUCUUGCUUCCCAGUCUUAGGCAUAGUACUAUCCUGGGUUCUAAGGGGGCCUUGGUUGGUUGGUUUAUUUAUUUUUUUCUGAGGACGCAGGACUGGGAUUUCUUGACUCCUAAGCCCAGGCUGGGCUAAGCCACAGUAGUUGGCCACAGUUGGUGUAAAAGUCAAGGGGUCUGUUGAGAAAGCUUUAGUCUCAGUGGGGGACAAGACUUCGUUCGAUUUGAGACCCCCUUGUUUGCACUGCGCUUUGACCAAAUGAGGCACAAGGAUAAGAGGGCGUGGAGGGAGGGGAGGGAGGGAGAAGGAGAGGACACUCCAGGAACCAGUUGUCCUGUGUUCAGGAGACAUACUGGUGUGUGAUCUUUAUACCAGAUCCGAAUGUGAUGGUGUUUAAACUUUGGAAAGAUUGGCCUUUUGACCUGCUUUUAAUCAGUUCUGAAGCCAAGGGAACUGGCCUCACAUACGGGUCACAUGGCCUGUGGAGAAGGACAAUGUCAUAUCAGAGCAGUUCUUUAUGCUCAGAGAGCAGAAGAGCUAUGCUUGCAGGAGUGUGUGUGUGUGUGUGUGUGUAUGUGUGUGUGUUUAUUUUCUGUAAGGAAGGCAUGAGCUUCCCAGGUUGGAAUUGCAAGUUAAUCUGUGGAGCCAAGCAUCUGGAGAGGACGGGGACCUUUGUGAAAGCAAACUGCCCCUGGAACCCACACCUUGACUUGAUCUUUGCACUCAAUCAAUUGCUCACAGGAGACUCCUGGCUAGUGAUAGAGCUCAGUGAUCGAGCAUGUGCCUAGCAUGUGCAAGCCUGGUGAUAGAGCUCAGUGAUCGAGCAUGUGCCUAGCAUGUGCGAGCCUGGAGAUCCACCCCUCGACACAAGGAAGAAACCAAAACAACAACAAUUAAAAUCAAGAAGCAGAGAGACUCCCUAAGACCCAGUAUUGCUCCAUGGAGGAAGCAAAUCUAAAGACUUGAAAAGCCCAGAUUCAUAAAAGCCAAGUAUUUUAAUC
rnacentral:lncRNA from 1 species